GACGAACGCUGGCGGCGUGCUUAACACAUGCAAGUCGAACGGAAAGGCCCUGCUUUUGUGGGGUGCUCGAGUGGCGAACGGGUGAGUAACACGUGAGUAACCUGCCCUUGACUUUGGUAUAACUUCAGGAAACUGGGGCUAAUACCGGAUAGGAUCUCCUGCUGCAUGGUGGGGGUUGGAAAGUUUCGGCGGUUGGGGAUGGACUCGCGGCUUAUCAGCUUGUUGGUGGGGUAGUGGCUUACCAAGGCUUUGACGGGUAGCCGGCCUGAGAGGGUGACCGGCCACAUUGGGACUGAGAUACGGCCCAGACUCCUACGGGAGGCAGCAGUGGGGAAUAUUGCACAAUGGGCGGAAGCCUGAUGCAGAAACGCCGCGUGCGGGAUGACGGCCUUCGGGUUGUAAACCGCUUUCGCCUGUGACGAAGCGUGAGUGACGGUAAUGGGUAAAGAAGCACCGGCUAACUACGUG
rnacentral:rRNA from 1 species